rnacentral:rRNA from 1 species
CGCGUGAGAAUGUGCCCUCAGGAGGGGGAUAACGGCUGGAAACGGCCGCUAAUACCCCUAUGCCGAGAGGUGAAAUGAAUUUCGCCUGAGGAUGAGCUCGCGUCUGAUUAGCUAGUUGGUGUGGUAAUGGCUCACCAAGGCAUCGAUCAGUAGCUGGUCUGAGAGGAUGAUCAGCCACACUGGGACUGAGACACGGCCCAGACUCCUACGGGAGGCAGCAGUGGGGAAUUUUCCGCAAUGGGCGCAAGCCUGACGGAGCAACGCCGCGUGAGGGAUGAAGGCCUCUGGGCUGUAAACCUCUUUUAUCAAGGAAGAAGAUCUGACGGUACUUGAUGAAUAAGCCACGGCUAAUUCCGUGCCAGCAGCCGCGGUAAUACGGGAGUGGCAAGCGUUAUCCGGAAUUAUUGGGCGUAAAGCGUCCGCAGGCGGUUUUACAAGUCUGUCGUUAAAGCGUGGAGCUCAACUCCAUUUCGGCGAUGGAAACUGUAAGACUAGAGUGUGGUAGGGGCAGAGGGAAUUCCCGGUGUAGCGGUGAAAUGCGUAGAUAUCGGGAAGAACACCAGUGGCGAAGGCGCUCUGCUGGGCCAUAACUGACGCUCAUGGACGAAAGCCAGGGGAGCGAAUGGAUUAGAUACCCCUGUAGUCCUAGCCGUAAACGAUGAACACUAGGUGUCGGGGGAAUCGACCCCCUCGGUGUCGUAKCCAACGCGUUAAGUGUUCCGCCUGGGGAGUACGCACGCAAGUGUGAAACUCAAAGGAAUUGACGGGGGGCCCGCACAAGCGGUGGAGUAUGUGGUUUAAUUCGAUGCAACGCGAAGAACCUUACCAGGGUUUGACAUCCUGCGAAUCCCUUGGAAACUUGGGAGUGCCUUCGGGAGCGCAGAGACAGGUGGUGCAUGGCUGUCGUCAGCUCGUGUCGUGAGAUGUUGGGUUAAGUCCCGCAACGAGCGCAACCCACGUCUUUAGUUGCCAGCAUUCAGUUGGGCACUCUAGAGAGACCGCCGGUGAUAAACCGGAGGAAGGUGUGGAUGACGUCAAGUCAUCAUGCCCCUUACAUCCUGGGCUACACACGUACUACAAUGCUACGGACAAAGGGCAGCAAACUCGCGAGAGCUAGCAAAUCCCAUAAACCGUGGCUCAGUUCAGAUCGUAGGCUGCAACUCGCCUACGUGAAGGAGGAAUCGCUAGUAAUCGCAGGUCAGCAUACUGCGGUGAAUACGUUCCCGGGCCUUGUACACACCGCCCGUCACACCAUGGAAGUUGGCCACGCCCGAAGUCGUUACUCCAACCCUUGUGGAGGAGGAUGCCGAAGGUGGGGCUGAUGACUGGGGUGAAGUCGUAACAAGG